AUGUUAAAUAAAUCACCGUUUUUAGUUAAACAAAAGAGGUCUUAUAUCACAGCCAUAGACAGGAAAUUAAGGGAAGUGCCAUACUUAUCACGUUAUGUUAUUUUAGAAAAGUUUAAAAAAAAACCAAGAUAUAUGUCUGAGUGUGUUGGCACUCCCAGAAGAGCUUACAAUUAUAACACUUUUGACACGAUACGAUACAAGCCGACAUUUAACCCUUAUGUGAAAUUGAAUAAAGAUAAAAAAUAUAGAUUGGAUAAUUGGGCUUCUAGAAAUCAUGACGAAUUUAACCCAUUAGAAUGUUAUGUACGAGGCAGUAGGAAAAAAUACUCAAUUCCUUUUUCGAUCUUACCUAGUAAAGAUGAACUUGGGAAUUUCCAUCCACCCGUAUUAUCGGGUAGAUAUAAAGCUGAUAUAGAGAAGCAGUAUUAUAUGCACGAUUUACCAUGGGUGUGGCAUAGAAGCUUUUACGAGGGUACUAACCAUUUCUGUGAUAAUAUGGUUGUAGGAAAAAAAAAAUGGUACGUGAAGGAACAGCGAGAAGAAAGAAUGAAAGAGGCCUUGAAAAAGAUAAAUGACAUGGUUUUAGAAUAUAGAGAGGUAAAUAAAUAUUAAUCGAUACGCACAUACAUACGUACAUAUGCAUAUAUAUUUAUAUACAUGUGCACAGAAAAAAACAAUGCUUUCUACUUUUCCAUUUUAUAUAUUUUUCCUUUUUAUUCUUAUUUUAUCAUUGUAAAAAAAUUAUAUGUACAUAUAUACUGUAUAUGUUGUAUUUAAUUGUUUCCUUUUUUCUUAUGUUUUACUCUAAUGUAGGAAUGCAAAAGUAAAAAGAAAUAUAAUUUUUUUGAAAAGGCUGUUAAUACUUUGGGAGAAGAAGUAGCACAUAAAUAUAUUCGAAAAAUAAAAAAUAUUUAUUUGUAAUUAUUAUUAUUAUU
rnacentral:lncRNA from 1 species